rnacentral:rRNA from 1 species
GAAUUUUAUAUAAAUUUAGUAAGAGAGUUAGUAGAAAAUUUAUUAUGUUUAUAUUUUAUUGGGAGGAUAGUUAAAUUAAAAAAACUUUAAAAAUAAAAAUCCAUUAAUUUAUGAAUUAAUUAGAAUUUAAAGAGUGAUAAUAAGAAUUUAAUUAGAAUUAAUUACCUUAGGGAUAACAGCGUUAUAUUUUUAGAGAGAUCUUAUUGAUAAAAAUGAUUGC